AUUUACUCAACAUUAAAGCAUGAAUGUCUGCGUGUGUCUAUACAGUUUGAUGGUGGCCAAAGCCAAGGAGGAGCUGGAUCAGGAGGUGUUGUAUAAGGAUGAGGAGAAACACAGGAACUGAGUGGAGCGCUUUAUACAAAGAAAGCUGUAUAUCAAAGCUAGGGUCUUUCUGAACAAGCUUGAGAAGAGGCCAGUUGAGGAUAGUGACUGGAGGAAGAACGUGGAGGCCAUGUCUGGUAUGGAGGGAAGAAAGAAGAUGUUUGAUGUGGCAAAAGGCCCCAUCCAGUGAACCAUUAUCUAGUGAGGUUAAGAGUUAAGGUCAUGCAACUUUUUGUUUGACAAAUUGAUCUAAAAUGUGUUAGGUUUGGAGUUCAAUACUAAAUAUACUAAUCUAAUACCAGAUACAGUAAUUCGAGAUUUCAGGUGAUUGCAUAACCUUCAAGUGGCAGAUAAGUGAAUAUUUUCAACAAAAAAAUGAAAAGUCAACAAAAGGUAUUCUGAUGUAUUUCAAGAAUAAACAAAGUAAAAUAUAAGUUGAUGUACCAGUCUCAGUACACGUUUAGUUUCACUAAAUUGCUAAUAUAAUAGGUUUGACAGUUUGUUUCUGUGAUACUGUGUGUGUAGGAUGUCUUAGUUAAGAUUUUACCAUUAAUCUUUACAAACUAUUGUUCAUAUAAGUCAUAAACUUGAUGUGCAUUGUAAAAAAAAACUGCACAUAGAUAGAGGUAAUUUAAGAUAAUUAAAAUAAAGGCUCAAAUUUCAUGCAGAUAUGUAUGUAUAAUUAUACUGUUAUCUCCCAAAAAGUGCAGACCAACACAGCUAUUGAAACAAUUUACAUUUAAAGUGUGAUGACAUGCCAUGCUGGUAAAAUGCCUGAAGGACUAAGCGGCUGUACUGUGUUUCUUUGUUUAGUCUAAUCUGAUGCAAAUGUUCUUUAAAUUGCUACUGAAUGGAGGCCAUAGGAUUGUGAAGAGAUGAUGAGAUAAAGACGAUCUGCCAUUUGAAGACUGUGGACUCCAACCCUUUAUUUGCAUAGUGGAUAUCUCUUGUCUUCCCUGUGGUGGCAUUGGGUGGGGCGUUCAGGCCACUUAUGCUGCUUCCUUUAGUUAUUUAUGUUUAACAGCUAAGUUCAUUAUGCCAUUCUUUAUGUGGAAUGUUUCUUUUCUUUAUUUGCAUAACUGAACAGGCUAAACAAAAAAUAAACUGAACAAUAUUGCGGAAACGUGUCACCAGGUUUGUCAUUCCAGUAGAGUUGGGCUAUUAUUUUCUUUUCGACCAAACCCAUGUAUGCUGAAUAGUCUGCUGUGGCUUUUCAGGUGUCUGUUUGAUGUUUCAGAUUGGCUUGGGCAAAGUACAGCAGGUCUACCUGUCUCUUAAAGGUGUGGCAAACA